AUGUGAGAUCGUAUUGGGUCCUGAGCGUGAAGCAGGAUUUUCUUAAUCGUUCGUUACUCCGCCUUCAACGAAUGUGAGAAAUCCAUUGAAGAUCGUUCUUGAGAGGUUAAUAACUUCUUAAGAGGGACUCAAUACUUUCUGA
rnacentral:snoRNA from 1 species